rnacentral:tRNA from 1 species
GGAGAAAUGGCCGAGUGGUUGAAGGCGCUCGCCUGGAAAGCGGGUAAACGUGAAAGCGUUUCGAGGGUUCGAAUCCCUCUUUCUCCGCCA